rnacentral:rRNA from 1 species
GACAGAGGAUGCAAGCGUUAUCCGGAAUGAUUGGGCGUAAAGCGUGCGCAGGCGGUUUGUUAAGUCUGCUGUGAAAUCCCCGGGCUCAACCUGGGAAUGGCGAUGGAUACUGGGCAGCUAGAGUGUGUCAGAGGAUGGUGGAAUUCCCGGUGUAGCGGUGAAAUGCGUGGAGAUCGGGAGGAACAUCAGUGGCGAAGGCGGCCUGCUGGGCUGUUGCUGACGCUGAGGCGCGACAGCGUGGGGAGCAAACAGG